UUGAACCCAUUCCCGAAAAUAUCUUUCCGGAAAUUUUUUUCCGCCUGAGAGCUGGAAAAAAUUUGCAGAAAUAUUUUUUUGGCCAUUGGCGCUUCUCCUCGCGCCCAGCCUCUCUUCUUGUCUUGCUCUUCUCAUCUUCAUCCUCGGCAGUGCUUCACCCUGCUGCUUGCUCAACCCCCACCGCAGCCUCAACACCACUGCCCGUUACUCCUCCUUGCAUCUUUCUCAUUCUGCUGAAACGAGUCUCGCUCAAAACCCUCUCACUCUCUCACUCGAAACCCUCGCUCCAAGCCCUCGUGUUUUUCUUUUUCACCCAACCUGCCUUUGUCACGCCUUUACCCUUCGUCACUCCUUUACCCUUCUCUUGCACAUCAGCAUGUUAAAUUGUUUACAACCAUAAUGCUAUUGAUGAAAUCUACGUUGAUCUUGCUUUUGCUUUGUUAAGGUGCUGUUUGAUGGUUUAGCCUCGAUGGUUCUUUCAUGAGGUCCAGCAUGAACUUGCUUAUGGAGAACAUAGAUAGUUUAAAAGCUCCCCACCUUAACAAAGCAUAAUCUUAAGUAUUUCUAGCAGAUGCGGAUGCUUGCAAAAGAUCGAGAGAAGCCACCCGAUGGAUUCAUGUGCCCAGGUGGCUGGAAGGUUCUAGUUGAGUACCAUGAAAGUUUUGCUCCUGCAGGUAGCAGCAGCAAAACUCGUGAACCUGUCCCUGUUUAAUAUCAAGUUUGCUGUUGAGAAAACAUAUCUGUGGAACUUCUUUAUAUAAUGUCAAUUCAAAACUAUGCAUUUUCAUAACAGGCUCAACCUAGCACCUUGGGCAACACUUGGCAGACCGGCAUUGUGAUGCUUGUGUUUGUAAAAUAGUUUGCUGCCAUUGAACCUUAAUGGGCAAUAGCAUUUAGAACUAAAGCAGCAACUGAACAGUAUGAUGUUUCUUGUUCUCAAUGGUUGUUUGUCGUUACAAUUCCCUGCUUCCUGAAGGGAUAAGACUGGGCAUUGUUGGUUAUUUAUUUAUUUGAUGUGGUUAUAAUUCAUUUUGUUGUCUCUUU